GGGCCGGAUAAUGGCGGGCGCUGCAGAAGAUGCGCGAGCUCUUUUCCGGGCUGGGGUCUGCGCGGCCCUGGAGGCCUGGCCGGCCUUGCAGAUCGCUGUGGAAAAUGGCUUCGGGGGUGUGCACAGCCAGGAGAAGGCCAAGUGGCUGGGGUGUGCAGUGGAGGAUUACUUAAUGCUCAAUGCUGACUUGGAGCUAGGUGAGGUGGAAGACUUCCCUGGAGAGCUGUUGACCAACGAGUUUGAUACAAUUGUGGAAGACGGGAGUCUGCCCCAGGUGAGCCAGCAACUGCAGACCAUGUUCCACCACUUCCAGAGGGGCGACGGGGCUGCUCUGAGGGAGAUGGCCUCUCGCAUCACUCAAAGAAAACGCAAGGUCACAGCCACUGCACUUAAAACAGCUAGAGAGACUGAUGAGGAUGAAGAUGAUGUGGACAGUGUGGAAGACAUGGAGGUCACAGCUCCGAAUGAUGGGGCUGCCACAGAUGGUGUCUGCUCCCAGCCUGAACCCUCUGAUCCAGACGCUCAGACUAUUAAGGAAGAGGAUAUAGUGGAAGAUGGCUGGACCAUUGUCUGGAGAAAAAAAUGAGUGGGGAUGGUUGGAAAUGGCUUUGGGCCCUUAUUUGCUAGUUCUGAGAGUUGUCUGUAGGGUUGAUUGCAGACCUGUGGACUGGUUACCCCAUCUCCACCCUCUCCCUUGUUCCCGUGUCUGGCUCCCUCCAGGGCAAGGAAAACCUAGGGUCCUUGGUCUUGGGGGUGGGGGGACCUUGUCCAGCACAUUCCCUUGGGCCUUUAGUUAACAUCUGAGUGACCAAGCCGGGUUCCCCAGUACAGUGUCGUUUGGGUGCAGUCAUUGUGAGGAAGGGGAUGAGUGAGUGUGGGUGUGGCUGGAGGAGGAGCUAGAUGCCAGUGGGCAGGUGGAUUUGGGGAGGAGAGGACCAGCAGCAGCAGCAGUACUCAGUGAUAAGGGGCUGGCUGGGUCAGGAAUGGUGAGAUGAACAUGCAAGUGGAAGAGAGAAUGGUUGAAGAUGUGAACGAAAGUAGCUCUGGAGCCUUUCCCUUACCCCAGCCCCCACACAUGCAACAGCUCUGUACCCCUGUCCAGAACUUGGAACCUCCCAGGAAUGCUGCCUUCCUGCAGCCCAGCCUCCAGCCCUGGGUUCCCUCAGGAAUUCGAGGACCUUGGCUAGGUGGUGAGCUUGGAAGAGCUGGGCUUUGUUUUCUGCCUCCUGUAACCUCUUUCCUUACUCCUUAUCCCAUCCCAUUUGAGUUCAGGGGUGAGGCUUAAGAUCUUAAUAAAUAAGAUCUUACAGAUUAAAAAAAAAA